AGCUUUUGACCAUCUUUCUGC
rnacentral:miRNA from 10 species